GCAGUAAGGAUUAGAUCCCGUAUAAGUGAUCUAGAGAAGAGGGUCAAGAAAUUGAAUAAGAAAGCUGUUGCCCGAAAGGAGCUGUCGAAGAUCAAGAAGGCACUCGAUGAGGCUUUGACAGAAAUCGAUCGGUUAAAGUCGAUCAUGUGGUGUGACUCCAAAAGGAUUUUCAUAUCGUCCGAGAGAAAAUUUUUAGACUUGAGCAUUCGGGGAAUGCGGUUGCCGAAUAUAGAUCAAGAGAAAAUCGACCAACUGUCAUAAGAUCCUAGAGUCCGAUCGAGAGAAAGUUGGCCAACGGUCAUAUGGUUUGACAUAUGUUCGACAUGGAUUACAUGGCUGGCUUUUGGAUUUGUAGGAAUCUGAUCAGAGUGGUGUUCUCAGGUCUAGAUCUUUCCAGCUUCUCGUCCGAAGGCAAUAUUGAGUCUUCCACCCCCCCGAUGUAGGUCUCAAGAUGGAGAUCCACAAGCUCGGUCCUAAUAACAUAGAGAUCCGCAAGACGGUUCCUGAUGAAGCUUUGGAGGUCAGGACUGGUUGUGAUCUUAUGUGACAAUUUUCUUAGUCAUCCAUUAUGGGUGACGACAUUCUUGUAAUGAUUUUGCAAAUGC
rnacentral:lncRNA from 1 species